UACGGAAGGCAGCAGUGGGGAAUAUUGGACAAUGGGCGCAAGCCUGAUCCAGCCAUGCCGCGUGUGUGAAGAAGGCCUUCGGGUUGUAAAGCACUUUUGUCCGGAAAGAAAAGCUUAGGGUUAAUAACCUUGAGUCAUGACGGUACCGGAAGAAUAAGCACCGGCUAACUUCGUGCCAGCAGCCGCGGUAAUACGAAGGGUGCAAGCGUUACUCGGAAUUACUGGGCGUAAAGCGUGCGUAGGUGGUUUGUUAAGUCCGAUGUGAAAGCCCUGGGCUCAACCUGGGAAUGGCAUUGGAAACUGGCUUACUAGAGUGCGGUAGAGGGGUGUGGAAUUCCCGGUGUAGCAGUGAAAUGCGUAGAUAUCGGGAGGAACAUCUGUGGCGAAGGCGACACCCUGGACCAGCACUGACACUGAGGCACGAAAGCGUGGGGAGCAAACAGGGAUUUAGAUACC
rnacentral:rRNA from 1 species